rnacentral:lncRNA from 1 species
CUUUGGUAGCCUCCUUACUUGCUCCACUUGCUUCAGAGAGAGAAGUGCGGGUUUGCGGUUUAGUGAAGGAGCAAGGCUCAUGUGAAUAGAAGAAUCCAAGGUAGAGCAGGAAGAGAAAUCCAGCUAGAGAAAGAGGUGGAAGUCAAAAUAAGUAGACUCUUAUUUUAAAUUUUUAAUGGCUUCUUGGUGGCUUCAAGAUAAAAGAUAGACAAUGAGGAGCUUUGUGUUUGGGAAAAGAAUAAAAGUCAACUGUAGCAAAACCUCUCAGAAGUAGGAUUUAUAAACAGUUCUCAAAGGAUGCACAUGAAAAUGUAAUUUCUUGGGAAAGUGGCAAACAGAAAAGAAUCAAACCGCAGUUGUGUGUGGCAAGGAUAAAUAUGCAACGCACCAUCAAUAGGAUUUGUUGGGUGAAUAAAAAAGCCUUUUAGCCAACAAUAUGUAAGCAGAAGAAUGGAGCAGGAGUUAGAGAGAACCCUCAAGCAAUAAUGGAGGCCACUGGAGAGGCAAGACUGCCAAAGGCUAAGUUAUUGACCCAGUAUUUUUAAAACUGCCUCCGAAAAGAAGCCUGAACGAAAGAAAAUAAUUUGUGCUAUUAGAAUGUAUUUUUCCUUUGUGUUCCUAUCUACUUCCUUCACAAGCUAUUUUUGGUUGGUCCCGGACAAUCAGAAACCAAAGAAGAAAGCAAACAGUAGGGUUCUGCUCCUCAUUAAAGGUCUCACUUUUGGUUCCUUCGGAGAAGAAUGUAGGAAAACUCCUAGCACAGAGGAAAUUCUGAUGUAUUACUCACAGAGUUUAAUCAGACCAUAUCGCUGAUAUUUCAUUUCAAUUCUUGAUAUCAGGGGCGUUCCUUAAAAUAGAAAAUUUUAAUUUCUAAGCUUUAGAAUCAAUAGAUUGCUCUGCAAUUUCUUUCACUUGGCAUUUAAUAACAGCACUAAGUAAAUUUCCAACAUAUGACUGAACUCAACCCAUACUGUUGACAAAUUGAAAGUUUAAUUUACCUGGCAGGUUAAAAAAAAGCCAACUUUUUAAUUUAAUUACAACACUGAAAGAACUCAGGAAGUUGAAUUCAGAUGUUUUAAUCACUGCGAUUUUUGAAGCCCUACACUAAGCCUUGUCGGGGGGAUAAAGGGAGACAAAUAUUUAAACACAAGGGCCCUUUUAUGAAUACAAAUAUAGUUGUUCAAAGGAUAGAAAUGAUAAAAGGAGGAAUGUAUAAGUUCUGUCUAGAAGAUGCAUUGAAGACUUUACUCUAAAGGGGAUGUUUCAGUAAAGUUUUGACUAUUAAUAAUAUGCAGGAAUUUGUGAGGUGUAUACAGGUCUGGAGAGGGGGUUCAAACAGAGGCAACUGGAGGUGCAAAAGCAAAUGGGCAUGGAUUUAUUAGCCUGAUUUGAUCAUUCCAUAAUGUAUACAGGUAUUGAACAUUACAUGGAACCCUAUAAAUAUAUACAACUAUUAUUUGCCAAUUAAAAAUAGAAUCACGCUUAAAAAAUACACAAAUGGGCACGGACCAGCAUGAUGUCUGAAGAAAGACGACAAAAGGAAUUGAGCAGUGCUGCAGUUGAACAUGAAAUGGGUGAACAGGUUCAGCCUCUACAUUUUGCAGUAGGGCUGCAAAACAAGAGAUGAGACAAGGAAAUGAAUAUUAAUGUUAUUGAAUACUGAGGUGGGAUCAACACAGACACUAGAAAACACUCAAAUACCUAAGACUUAUAGUUAAGCUUGGCUUACUCCAGUUCAUUACUUUGGGAUGAUUUAACUAAAUAAACCAUUUAAAAAU